rnacentral:lncRNA from 1 species
GAGCCGAAAGGGUUAGGAGCGAAGCCGCCGCCGGAGCUGCUGCCGCCGCUGCCGCUGCUGCUCCUGCCCGUUCUUCGGCCCGGGCUGCAGCAGCUCCGCCACCCGCGGAGGACGGACGUGCCUCUCGCCCCGGCGGCGGGCAGGGGCUCCAGGGGGGCGGGAGAGGCCGACUCCCGGGAAACGGGACCACAGCCUGGCUCCCCCGGCUUCUUAGCCGCCGCCGCCACCGGCGCUGCCACCGCCGCUGCAGUCGCAGUGUCUGCGGCCCCGGCACAUCGGCUUUUCCUGGCCGGGGAGCGCGGACGGGCGGCGAGAAGGCUCUCCUCCCCCUCCUCCUCCUUCUCUAGGAGCGGGGACCCGCGAUCCGGAGGAGCCGAGCUAGGUUGCGGCAGCCAGGAAAGGAGGAGACGAGCUCCGCUCCGCUCUGCAAGCCGGCGGCGCUGCACCCUGAAGGAGCCGGCUCCCGAGUGCAGCCCGGGGGGGGGAGGGGUGGUGACGGGGGAGGGGGCGGUGCGGGGCGGGGGAGGGACGAGGGAGGAGGGAGCCCGUGAGCUAGCUCCACUCCUUCCUUCUACUCCCCUCCCGUCUUUCUUGAUUGCGCUCUGGACGCCUCCCGGAAGCGAGGAGCUCGGAUCCCAACCUGCAGAGCCGGCCAGUCUCCUUCUCUCCUACCCCCGCCCCCGCACCCCGAUAGAAGAUGCUCUCUCUUUCUGAAGAUUCUUUUGAUGACUUUAUCUGAUGUUUGGACUUUACUGGAAACUAAGCUCUCUAAGGUGAUAAUAAUAGCCUAUAUUUCUAAAGAUAUUUAAGGUUUGCAAAGCACUUUACAAUAAGGCAGGUGCUAUCAUCAUCCCUAUUUCACAGAUGAGGAAACUGAGACUCAGAAAGAUUGAAUGACUUGCCCAGGAUCUCACAGGUAGUAACUGUCUGAGGAAGGAUUUUAACCCUGGUCUUCUUGAUGCCCAAUCCAGUGUUCUAUCUGCUAUGCCAUGCCACCUCUCAUUUUCAAGUGAGUAUAAAAAAUGUCAACUUAAUAUAAUAAUGGUAAUAUUUGUGACCCACCAUUAGUAGGUUGAACUGGUUAUUUCCCC